rnacentral:rRNA from 1 species
GGGUGGCGUUGCUAUAAUGCAGUCGACGCGUUGGCCCAACUGUUUGGACGUGCUUGCACGGACUUGACGUUGGUUUACCAGCGAGUGGCGGACGGGUGAGUAACACGUAGGUAACCUGCCCCAAAGCGGGGGAUAACAUUUGGAAACAGAUGCUAAUACCGCAUAACAAUUUGAAUCGCAUGAUUCAAACUUAAAAGAUGGCUUCGGCUAUCACUUUGGGAUGGACCUGCGGCGCAUUAGCUUGUUGGUAGGGUAACGGCCUACCAAGGCUGUGAUGCGUAGCCGAGUUGAGAGACUGAUCGGCCACAAUGGAACUGAGACACGGUCCAUACUCCUACGGGAGGCAGCAGUAGGGAAUCUUCCACAAUGGGCGCAAGCCUGAUGGAGCAACACCGCGUGAGUGAAGAAGGGUUUCGGCUCGUAAAGCUCUGUUGUUAGAGAAGAACGUGCGUGAGAGCAACUGUUCACGCAGUGACGGUAUCUAACCAGAAAGUCACGGCUAACUACGUGCCAGCAGCCGCGGUAAUACGUAGGUGGCAAGCGUUAUCCGGAUUUAUUGGGCGUAAAGCGAGCGCAGGCGGUUUGAUAAGUCUGAUGUGAAAGCCUUUGGCUUAACCAAAGAAGUGCAUCGGAAACUGUCAGGCUUGAGUGCAGAAGAGGACAGUGGAACUCCAUGUGUAGCGGUGGAAUGCGUAGAUAUAUGGAAGAACACCAGUGGCGAAGGCGGCUGUCUGGUCUGCAACUGACGCUGAGGCCCGAAAGCAUGGGUAGCGAACAGGAUUAGAUACCCUGGUAGUCCAUGCCGUAAACGAUGAGUGCUAGGUGUUGGAGGGUUUCCGCCCUUCAGUGCCGCAGCUAACGCAUUAAGCACUCCGCCUGGGGAGUACGACCGCAAGGUUGAAACUCAAAGGAAUUGACGGGGGCCCGCACAAGCGGUGGAGCAUGUGGUUUAAUUCGAAGCUACGCGAAGAACCUUACCAGGUCUUGACAUCUUGCGCCAACCCUAGAGAUAGG